rnacentral:rRNA from 1 species
UUUAAAAUAUUAAAAACGACGGGCAAUAUGUGCAUAUUUUUAAUAAAAAUUCAAUUAAAAAAUUUAUUUAAAAAAUUUAUUUUUAAAUCCAAUUUCAAAAAUUUAUUUCAAAAAUUUAUUCAAAAAUUUUUGAAAUAAAGUAUUUCAUUAAAGUUUUAAUUAUAAAAUAUAUUAUGAUUUGAAUUUUUUUUUUUAAUAAAAUUAAAAUAAUAAUAAUUUAUAAAUAUUAUUUAUACAACAAUAUAUAAUUAAAUUAAAUUAAAUAAAUUUUAUUGUGUAUUAUCAAAUUAAUAAACAAAAUCCUUUAAUUUUUAAAAAUACUACCAAAUAAUUUAAUUUUAUUUUAUUAUUUUAAUAAUUAAACUAUAAAUUAUAAAUAAUAAUA